UACAUUAAUUCGUUGACAUUUGCCAUUCUGAUUGCGUUAAUUCUGGUAAGUUUUGCAAUAAAUUGCUAUUAUUUUUUAAUUUACUAAUCUAUUUAAAGUAUUUAUUUACAGAAUAUCAUUUCGUAGCUACCACGGCGAGUUUCUAUAGGUUUUUUUGGUUUUUGCCUGUCCAAGUGCUGCGCGGCUACAUUUGCAUUCCAAACGCAAACGCACACAUUCCUAUUCGCUUUUGGUGUUUGCUUGUCCAAGUGCGGCACGACGAAAAACAUUUGCGUUCCAAACGCGCACACACACGUUCCUAUUCGCUUUUGGUUUUGCCUGUCCAAG